AAUUAACUCGAUACGAUAGAUACACGGUGGCGACAAAUACCGUUGCUUGUUUCCUAGUUCAUAUUUUGCCCAUACCUGUCGCUAAGAUCACACACACUUAGUGCAAAAGUUAACCAAUGCUUUGGCGCAAUAGUCGCAAUUAUGGCGAUUUCGUUGCGAAUGUAACGCGUUCUCUCGCAAUACAUAUAACUAACACGCCUCAGCGCCAGUAAAUGUACACGUGGGAAAAUAACCAAACAAAGUGAGAAAUAACAAAGAUGCCGAAAACAAAGUAAACGACAAAGAUGCCGGGAAUACAAAAGAAAUCAUUUAUUCUUUCUUGGAUUCUUCUCGAAGUCAC